rnacentral:misc_RNA from 1 species
ACAUAAAAAGACAUUCAUACGGAAAUGAAAUGCCGAUUUGUAAAAUCAGUCUUACAGUUCAAAAAUCAGAUUGAAGAUAUAUAUACAUGUAUAUAUCUCUCUAUACUCAUACGGAGAUAGGAAUACUUUAAGCAUACUGAAACAAAAAGGGAAAACAGCAACAGUAAUAUGUACAAAGAAGAAAAUAGCGAGUACCCUCCGUGGAAAUGCAUGAAUUUUUAUACGUAUAAAUAUCUGGCAGCUUAUUAAAAAAUGACAGUAUAUAUUCUCUCGAAUGUGCUAAAAAAACAAUACAUUCAGGAGUACGAGCAGCAUAUGAUCCGAGUAUCGCUGCAGCAUCACAAUCAGGAUCUGCAAUAUGACCCCGUGGCUGCGUCGCUACGUAGAAUGGAAUAUUGGUCUUCAUUCUGGCAACUGUCAGCAAUGGACAUACCACACGAACGUCCGAG